rnacentral:rRNA from 1 species
CAUCCGCAUCCUUUGCUGAGGAUACGGUUAACGGAGCGAAAGCGACGUUCAACCGCAAAACAAGCAGAGGGGGCUUAGUGGUGGGGUGACUGCGUACCUUUUGUAUAAUGGGUCAGCGACUUAUAUUCUGUAGCAAGGUUAACCGAAUAGGGGAGCCGGAGGGAAACCGAGUCUUAAUUGGGCGUUAAGUUGCAGGGUAUAGACCCGAAACCCGGUGAUCUAGCCAUGGGCAGGUUGAAGGUUGGGUAACACUAACUGGAGGACCGAACCGACUAAUGUUGAAAAAUUAGCGGAUGACCUGUGGCUGGGGGUGAAAGGCCAAUCAAACCGGGAGAUAGCUGGUUCUCCCCGAAAGCUAUUUAGGUAGCGCCUCGUGAAUUCAUCUCCGGGGGUAGAGCACUGUUUCGGCUAGGGGGCCAUCCCGGCUUACCAACCCGAUGCAAACUGCGAAUACCGGAGAAUGUUAUCACGGGAGACACACGGCGGGUGCUAACGUCCGUCGUGAAGAGGGAAACAACCCAGACCGCCAGCUAAGGUCCCAAAGUCAUGGUUAAGUGGGAAACGAUGUGGGAAGGCCCAGACAGCCAGGAUGUUGGCUUAGAAGCAGCCAUCAUUUAAAGAAAGCGUAAUAGCUCACUGGUCGAGUCGGCCUGCGCGGAAGAUGUAACGGGGCUAAACCAUGCACCGAAGCUGCGGCAGCGAACGUAUCACCCAAGACAACUUUACGGAGUUGACGAUUGACGGAGCGAAGCGACGUCAAAGCGUUCAUUAAAGUCGAGUUGGCUUAGGGAUACGUUCGUUGGGUAGGGGAGCGUUCUGUAAGCCUGUGAAGGUGUGUCGUGAGGCAUGCUGGAGGUAUCAGAAGUGCGAAUGCUGACAUAAGUAACGAUAAAGCGGGUGAAAAGCCCGCUCGCCGGAAGACCAAGGGUUCCUGUCCAACGUUAAUCGGGGCAGGGUGAGUCGACCCCUAAGGCGAGGCCGAAAGGCGUAGUCGAUGGGAAACGGGUUAAUAUUCCCGUACUUGGUGUUACUGCGAAGGGGGGACGGAGAAGGCUAUGUUGGCCGGGCGACGGUUGUCCCGGUUUAAGCGUGUAGGUGUGUGUUCCAGGUAAAUCCGGUUCACUUUAACACUGAGGCGUGACGACGAGGCACUACGGUGCUGAAGCAACAAAUGCCCUGCUUCCAGGAAAAGCCUCUAAGCAUCAGGUAACACGAAAUCGUACCCCAAACCGACACAGGUGGUCAGGUAGAGAAUACCAAGGCGCUUGAGAGAACUCGGGUGAAGGAACUAGGCAAAAUGGUGCCGUAACUUCGGGAGAAGGCACGCUGACACGUAGGUGAAGUGAUUUACUCAUGGAGCUGAAGUCAGUCGAAGAUACCAGCUGGCUGCAACUGUUUAUUAAAAACACAGCACUGUGCAAACACGAAAGUGGACGUAUACGGUGUGACGCCUGCCCGGUGCCGGAAGGUUAAUUGAUGGGGUCAGCGUAAGCGAAGCUCCUGAUCGAAGCCCCGGUAAACGGCGGCCGUAACUAUAACGGUCCUAAGGUAGCGAAAUUCCUUGUCGGGUAAGUUCCGACCUGCACGAAUGGCGUAAUGAUGGCCAGGCUGUCUCCACCCGAGACUCAGUGAAAUUGAACUCGCUGUGAAGAUGCAGUGUACCCGCGGCAAGACGGAAAGACCCCGUGAACCUUUACUAUAGCUUGACACUGAACAUUGAGCCUUGAUGUGUAGGAUAGGUGGGAGGCUUUGAAGUGUGGACGCCAGUCUGCAUGGAGCCGACCUUGAAAUACCACCCUUUAAUGUUUGAUGUUCUAACGUGGACCCGUAAUCCGGGUUGCGGACAGUGUCUGGUGGGUAGUUUGACUGGGGCGGUCUCCUCCUAAAGAGUAACGGAGGAGCACGAAGGUUGGCUAAUCCUGGUCGGACAUCAGGAGGUUAGUGCAAUGGCAUAAGCCAGCUUGACUGCGAGCGUGACGGCGCGAGCAGGUGCGAAAGCAGGUCAUAGUGAUCCGGUGGUUCUGAAUGGAAGGGCCAUCGCUCAACGGAUAAAAGGUACUCCGGGGAUAACAGGCUGAUACCGCCCAAGAGUUCAUAUCGACGGCGGUGUUUGGCACCUCGAUGUCGGCUCAUCACAUCCUGGGGCUGAAGUAGGUCCCAAGGGUAUGGCUGUUCGCCAUUUAAAGUGGUACGCGAGCUGGGUUUAGAACGUCGUGAGACAGUUCGGUCCCUAUCUGCCGUGGGCGCUGGAGAACUGAGGGGGGCUGCUCCUAGUACGAGAGGACCGGAGUGGACGCAUCACUGGUGUUCGGGUUGUCAUGCCAAUGGCACUGCCCGGUAGCUAAAUGCGGAAGAGAUAAGUGCUGAAAGCAUCUAAGCACGAAACUUGCCCCGAGAUGAGUUCUCCCUGAGACUUAGAGUCUCCUGAAGGAACGUUGAAGACGACGACGUUGAUAGGCCGGGUGUGUAAGCGCAGCGAUGCGUUGAGCUAACCGGUACUAAUGAACCGUGAGGCUUAACCUUACAAC